GUACAAUAUAUGGAUAAUGGAAGCUUGGAAGAAUAUUUGGACUCAAAUAAUGGAGUACCAUACUGUUCUCCCACUACCCAAGGCAUCCCACACCAUCUCCUUUGGAUGAAGAGUCAUCAGCACUUAACUUGGGAUAGGUGGCCUUCAGGCCUUUCUGCUCUUACAAAUACUACCCUAAACCUUCCCCCCUCUGUCUAAGGAUUACUCCGAAACUUAUUCCUACUACAUAUAUUUUGAAACAUUCCUCCACUGAAGAAAGAGGCCUUGGACUUACUUCCUCUGACCAAGGGCUUCAUAGCCCAAAGAUAACCAUUCAACCUGUUGGAAUAAUGGAACAACUGCUGCCUGGACUUUCA